GUCUACGGCCAUGCUACCUUAAACAAGCCUUAUCCUGUCUGAUCUUGGAAGCUAAGCAGGGUCAGGCCUGAUUAGUACUUGAAUGAGAGACCACCUAUUAGUACUUGAAUGAGAGAUCACCUAAGAAGACCAGGUGCUGUAGGCU
rnacentral:rRNA from 1 species